rnacentral:rRNA from 1 species
GACGAACGCUGGCGGCGUGCUUAACACAUGCAAGUCGAACGGAGCGCCUAUGAAGGAGAUUUCGGUCAACGGAAUAGGUUGCUUAGUGGCGGACGGGUGAGUAACGCGUGAGGAACCUGCCUUUCAGAGGGGGACAACAGUUGGAAACGACUGCUAAUACCGCAUAACACAUAGGUGUCGCAUGGCAUUUAUGUCAAAGAUUUAUCGCUGAAAGAUGGCCUCGCGUCUGAUUAGCUAGUUGGUGAGGUAACGGCUCACCAAGGCGACGAUCAGUAGCCGGCCUGAGAGGGUGAACGGCCACAUUGGGACUGAGACACGGCCCAA